rnacentral:rRNA from 1 species
AGAGUUUGAUCUGGCUCAGGAUGAACGCUGGCGGCGUGCUUAACACAUGCAAGUCGAACGCUGAAGCUCCCAGCUUGCUGGGGGUGGAUGAGUGGCGAACGGGUGAGUAUCACGUGAGUAACCUGCCCUUGACUCUGGGAUAAGCCCGGGAAACUGGGUCUAAUACUGGAUAGGACUGGCCAUCGCAUGGUGGUUGGUUGAAAGCUUUUGCGGUUUUGGAUGGACUCGCGGCCUAUCAGCUUGUUGGUGGGGUAAUGGCCUACCAAGGCUUUGACGGGUAGCCGGCCUGAGAGGGUGACCGGCCACACUGGGACUGAGACACGGCCCAGACUCCUACGGGAGGCAGCAGUGGGGGAUAUUGCACAAUGGGCGCAAGCCUGAUGCAGCGACGCCGCGUGAGGGAUGACGGCCUUCGGGUUGUAAACCUCUUUCAGUUGGGAAGAAGCCUUUCGGGGUGACGGUACCUUCAGAAGAAGCACCGGCUAACUACGUGCCAGCAGCCGCGGUAAUACGUAGGGUGCGAGCGUUAUCCGGAAUUAUUGGGCGUAAAGAGCUCGUAGGCGGUUUGUCACGUCUGCUGUGAAAGCUCGGGGCUUAACUCCGAGUGUGCAGUGGGUACGGGCAGGCUGGAGUGCA